rnacentral:rRNA from 1 species
AUUCCAGCUCCAAUAGCGUAUAUUAAAGUUGUUGCAGUUAAAAAGCUCGUAGUCGGAUUUCGGGGCCUGCCGAGCGGUCUGCCGAUGGGUAUGCACUGUUCGGCGCGUCCUUCUUUCCGGAGACUAAUUCUACUCUUAACUGAGCGGAAUUGGGAGACGGAUCGUUUACUUUGAAAAAAUCAGAGUGUUUCAAGCAGGCAGCUCGCUCUUGCAUGGAUUAGCAUGGGAUAAUGAAAUAGGACUCUGGUGCUAUUUUGUUGGUUUCGAACACCGGAGUAAUGAUUAACAGGGACAGUCAGGGGCACUCGUAUUCCGUCGAGAGAGGUGAAAUUCUCAGACCAAUGGAAGACGAACCACUGCGAAAGCAUUUGCCAGGGAUGUUUUCAUCG